AGCUGGGGGAGGGGGAAGUGGCGAGCAGGAGGCCGGGGGCGGGCGGCUGGCGCGCUGUGUACUUAGGUCGUGUGCUGGGGCUUUUCUCUCCAGGGAGCCGGCCGAAGGGCGGGGGAGGGGCCACCGCUCCGCCUUCUUCUUUUCGCAAUGUUGACGCAAUCUAUAAAUAGUGGAACAAAAGGACCAACUUCCUCGGAGCUUUGCUGAAACUGCACAAAAAAUCGAGCUGGGGGGUUCCCUGGUCCCCGGCGUUGGGGCGGGGAGCGCUGCGCCGAGGGAGGGGGCGGCGCAGACCGGCCUAGGGGACACCUGGCCGAGCGCAGCCGCCGCUCCGCUCGAGCCCUGCGCUCCAGCGUCCCCACUAGCUGGAGAGCUCGCCCGGACCGGGGGUCUUCCUCCGCCGCUGACAGACUUAAGGAGACAAAUGCAUUGGAUUCACCAUUUGUGAGAGGCAUCGGAUUGGAUUUUAACCUUUAGAAGAGAACCAAUUCUGGAAAACAACCUAAGUUUCUUUGACUGAAUGCUGGCGUAAUGCAUUGGAACAGGAUAGAGGAUUAAGGUUUAACAAUGAUAAAAUGAAGGUAUUACUAGAACAGCCCUCUAAGAACGCCAACAAUUAUUUUUGCUAGAGAUGGAACCAGGGCCUUAAAGGAACCUAGACAAGCACUUUGCCUUCUUAGCUCUUCAUCUGUGGAAUAUGGAUGUCCUAGAAGUGGCAUAAUGGGGGAUGGCUCAGCAGUUAAGAGCACUGCCUGUUCUUCCAGAGAUCCUGAGUUCAGUUCCCAACAACCACAUGAUGGCUCACAACCAUUCAUACUGAGAUCUGGUGCCGUCUUCUGGCCUGCAGUUGUAAAAAUGGUUAAAUUUUUAAAUAAUAUGGCCAGAAAGAAAAUAGUGACACAUCCCUAUGAUAUCAGCCCUUGGGAAGUGAAGAUGAGAAGACCAUCAGAAGUUGAAAGUCAUCCUCAGCUCCAGCCCAGCCUAAGCAACAAACCAACAAGAACCAAAGAAAUCUCAGUGUAAUCAGACUAGGUUGUAACCUGGUGAUGUAACAUGUGCUGUUCGUUUGACUCUUGAUUAAGGUGGGAGGAGGGGGACUUGUGGUUUUUGAACAAGAAUGCCCCCAUAGUUCAUGUGUUUGAAUAUUUGGUCCUCACUUGGUGAAACUGUUUGGAAGUACAGGUGUGUGGCAUAGGAGGAAGUAUGUCACUAGGGGCCUGGCUUAGAAGUCUGAAACAACACUUCCUGGUUAGCUCCCUCUCUGGCUGCUACUUGCACAUAAAGAUGUGAGUUAUCAGUUACUGUUCCAGUGCCCUGCCUGUCUGCUUGCUGUUGUAAUGGUCAAGGACUUGAACCCUUUGAAAUUGUAAGCCCCAAAUUAAACACUUUCUUGUAUAA